rnacentral:rRNA from 1 species
ACGUACACUCCUGCGGGAGGCAGCAGUGGGGAAUUUUGGACAAUGGGCGAAAGCCUGAUCCAGCCAUGCCGCGUGCAGGAUGAAGGCCUUCGGGUUGUAAACUGCUUUUGUACGGAACGAAACGGCCUUUUCUAAUAAAGAGGGCUAAUGACGGUACCGUAAGAAUAAGCACCGGCUAACUACGUGCCAGCAGCCGCGGUAAUACGUAGGGUGCAAGCGUUAAUCGGAAUUACUGGGCGUAAAGCGUGCGCAGGCGGUUAUGUAAGACAGUUGUGAAAUCCCCGGGCUCAACCUGGGAACUGCAUCUGUGACUGCAUAGCUAGAGUACGGUAGAGGGGGAUGGAAUUCCGCGUGUAGCAGUGAAAUGCGUAGAUAUGCGGAGGAACACCGAUGGCGAAGGCAAUCCCCUGGACCUGUACUGACGCUCAUGCACGAAAGCGUGGGGAGCAAACAGGAUUAGAAACCCGAGUAGUCC